AUGCCAAGGCUUGCUGCUGUCAAUGGUUUAGAACUGCAGGAUAUUCCAGCUGAACUGUGUGAUCUCAACAUUCUGGAGAGACAUCUGAUUGCCAAAUGCAUACCAUUUGCUAAGAUUAUUCCUCUUCCAAAGGGCAGACAAAGACUCAUACGUGGUAAUGUGGUGUGUGUACCAUCUGAGGUCCAACAAACAGUUGACUGUUUACCUCGGCUCAGAAGCCAAUCGCAGAUAAUGAGGAUCAAGCUGAAAAGACGACUGUGCUACAAAGGCCAUCAGCUGUUCCAGACUGUCACCUGGUCUAAACUGAUCCAAGCCCUGCGUAAACUCAAACAGAUUCAUCCACAGUACACAGAUAUUAUUAUCAGAGAUGAUGCAUUGCUUUGUGAUCCAACGUUACCUGAUGAUGACAGCAGUGAUGAAGCCAGCAUGGGAAGUGAUGAUUAUGAUGAAGCAGAUCUAAUGGAAAUUGACAACUAUGAAAAAGAUGCCCUUUUGUGUGAAAGUGAGUCUGAAAGUGAACAAGAUAUUAAUAUGCAACAACCAGAGGAACAAAAUCCAGAGGAACCAGAAAGUGAUUUGAACAAUGGAGGUUUUGCUCUAGAAAGUUGCCUGCAGCCUGUAGACAUUUCUGAAGAGAUUCUCUCUUUCACUGAUAACACAUAUUGUGUGGCACCUGCAGAAAGAAACAAUCCUGUUAGCUUCUUCAGAACUCCUCAUUUGGAAGCUAUGGCAUUUCCUGUGCAGUUUCCUACUGGUCAGAAUACACUGGAUGAAAAGAGACAUCUUAAACUCACACCAAGUGCUUACUUCAAGUCAAGGCUUUUCAACAUUGACGCAAGAUUUGCUAAAGAUACAAAUUACCUGUUUUUCUCACAGUUUGUUACUGAAAUACACUUGGCUAAUUCCAGCAUGACAAUACAGCUACGGAAAGGUAAAACUAUGACCAAAGACGGACGCAAAAUCACAUCAGGAAUGUUACAAAGUAAGACAGAAGUAGAGAAGCUGGUAAGAAAUAAAGAUGCAAUCAGAUUUAUGCAGCCACUCAGAGGAACUCCAGCUUACUGGCAGAAAACUACCAGAGAUUUAUUCAGUAUGGUUCGCCAAAUAGGAACACCUCAGUUCUUUGUCACAUUCUCUGCUGCUGAGAUGAGAUGGCCUGAAGUGAUUCAAGCAAUAAAGAGACAGCAAGGUGAAGAGGUUGAUUUUGAAGCCCUGGACUGGUCAGAAAAGUGUGAAAUUCUAAGAUCAAAUCCAGUAACCACCAUGCGAAUGUUUGAUAAGCGUGUUGAGGCUUUGUUCAGAGAUUUGCUUUUUUCUCCUGCACAGCCCCUUGGUGAAAUCAUUGGUUACUUUUACAGAGUUGAGUUCCAGCACAGAGGUAGUCCGCAUAUACACAUGUUGCUGUGGAUUCGAGAAAAGGUAGAAGUAGAUGUGGAUGACGACCAAACUGUCUGUGACUUUGUGGACAGAUACAUCUCAGCUCAACUCCCUGAUCCAGUAAAACAGCCUGAACUGCACAAAAAAGUCGCUGAACUACAAAAGCACAGCAAAAACCACACAAAAACAUGCUUUAAGAGUGUGAACUCUGGUUGUAGAUUUGGGUUUCCAAAACCACCAGCCACAAGAACAAUGAUUGUGAGAAAGGAUGAGGAUUCAGACACUGAAGCUGCAAAAGCCAAACUCAGACCUUUGAUGAACCUGCUGAAGGAACCUGAAGCUGCUUCUCUCACCAUAGAGCAGAUUCUGUCACGAUGCAACUUGACAAUGAAUGAGUAUGAGCAAUGCCUCCAAGACAUAAACAAGAAAACGGCGCUGAUUCUGAAACGUGACCCAAAGGACUGUUGGAUCAACAAUUACAACCCAGACCUGCUUGAAGCCUGGAACUCUAAUUUAGGUGUCUCGUUAAUCUUGAAUGCCUAUUCUUGUAUAGAAUACCUCUGUAAAUAUAUAACGAAGAAAGAAUCUGGCCUCUCUGAAUACCUGAAGACAGUUAUUGAUAACUCUGCAAAGAACACGGUCAAUGAAUGUGAUGAAAUGAGAGCUGUGAUGCAGGCUUACUCAAAAAAGAGAGAAAUCAGCGCACAAGAGUGUGUGACUCGAGUCUGUGGCCUAAAAAUGAAAAAAUGUUCCCGCAGUGUUGUAUUUGUACCAACAGAUGAUAACCCGGUAAAAAUGAGUCGCCCCAUGAGCUAUCUGGAAACCACAACACAUGACAGUUGUAAUAUUUGGAUGACAAGUUUGAGUGAUAAAUACAAAUGCAGACCUGAGACACCAGAAUAUGAGGAAAUGUCCCUGGCUGAUUUUGCUGCCCUGUGCCGGUUGGUGAGUGGUCCAAAUGAAGGAAAAGAUGUGCUUCCUCUUCUUAACCAGCUUGGAUUUGUACAAAGGCGAAAGAAUGAUAAACCAGCUAUAAUCAGGUAUUACCACUGUUCACAGGAAAAAGAUCCUGAGCAAUAUUAUGGACGACUGUUGAGACUUUACCUUCCACACAGAUCAGAGCAGGAACUGAAACCACAAUGUUUCCAAACCUAUCAGUCCUUCUACAACUCAGGUUUUGUGCGACUUCCAUGUUCAGACCACAGUGAGUCUGUGAAAAGGAUUGUAAAGAGAAAUAAAGACAAGUAUGAGAAGAACUCUGAGGAUAUUGAGAGUGCACUGGAAGAGUUUGAACAAAAUAGGGAUGUUGUGAUUGAUGAAUGGUGUAAUCUUGCUCCUGAAUCUGAAGUUGUGAGGUUGCAAUGUGAUGAGAAUCUUCCUGAGAGACAUUCUGAUGAUGAGAAUGAACAGGAGAAUGUUCCCGACUACAGUCGUCAGUCUGAUGCUGUAACAGAGAUCAGAGCCGUCAGAGAACAACCUGCAGUCGAUCCAGCUGUGGUACGUGUAAUGUAUCAGAAUCUGAACCAGAAGCAGGCCUGCGUGUUCUAUGCUAUAAGAGACUGGUGUAUUCAGCGAGUUUGUGGUUUGAACCCAGAUCCAUUUUUCUUCUAUAUCAACGGUGGUGCAGGAACUGGAAAGUCACAUCUGAUUAAAUGUAUUCACUCUGAAGCAUCAAAGAUCCUGAGCAGACUACCUGCUAAUGCAGAAGAAGCUGACAUAUCAAAUCCAACUGUUUUACUGACUUCAUUUACUGGGACACACUGUAAAAACGAUAACUAG
ensembl:lncRNA